rnacentral:tRNA from 1 species
GCGGAUGUGGUGGAAUUGGUAGACACGCCAGACUUAGGAUCUGGUGCCUAACGGUGUGGAGGUUCGAGUCCUCUCAUCCGCA